GACGAACGCUGGCGGCGUGCUUAACACAUGCAAGUCGAACGGUAAGGCCCCAGCUUGCUGGGGUACACGAGUGGCGAACGGGUGAGUAACACGUGGGUGACCUGCCCCGCACUUCGGGAUAAGCCUGGGAAACUGGGUCUAAUACCGGAUAGGACCGCACCGUGAGGGUGUGGUGGAAAGUUUUUCGGUGUGGGAUGGGCCCGCGGCCUAUCAGCUUGUUGGUGGGGUAAUGGCCUACCAAGGCGGCGACGGGUAGCCGGCCUGAGAGGGUGGACGGCCACAUUGGGACUGAGACACGGCCCAGACUCCUACGGGAGGCAGCAGUGGGGAAUAUUGCACAAUGGGCGGAAGCCUGAUGCAGCGACGCCGCGUGGGGGAUGACAGCCUUCGGGUUGUAAACUCCUUUCACCAUCGACGAAGGUUUUCUGACGGUAGAUGGAGAAGAAGCACCGGCUAACUACGUG
rnacentral:rRNA from 1 species